AAGACCUUGCGCUUUUGGAGCGGCCGAUGUCUGAUUAGCUAGUUGGUGGGGUAAUGGCCUACCAAAGCUUCGAUCAGUAGCUGGUCUGAGAGGACGGCCAGCCACACUGGGACUGAGACACGGCCCAGACUCCUACGGGAGGCAGCAGUGGGGAAUUUUGGACAAUGGGCGCAAGCCUGAUCCAGCCAUGCCGCGUGAGUGAAGAAGGCCUUCGGGUUGUAAAGCUCUUUCAGCCGGGAAGAAGAGGCUGCGACUAAUAAUCGCAGUUCAUGACGGUACCGGAAGAAGAAGCACCGGCUAACUACGUGCCAGCAGCCGCGGUAAUACGUAGGGUGCGAGCGUUAAUCGGAAUUACUGGGCGUAAAGGGUGCGCAGGCGGUUUUGUAAGUCAGAUGUGAAAUCCCCGGGCUUAACCUGGGAACU
rnacentral:rRNA from 1 species